UACGUAGGGGCAAGCGUUGUCCGGAUUCAUUGGGCGUAAAGAGCGUGUAGGCGGCCAGGUAGGUCGGUUGUGAAACUGGAGGCUCAACCUUCAGACGUCGACCGAAACCAUCUGGCUAGAGUCCGGAGAGGAGAGUGGAAUUCCUGGUGUAGCGGUGAAAUGCGCAGAUAUCAGGAAGAACACCCGUGGCGAAAGCGGCUCUCUGGAACGGUACUGACGCUGAGGCGCGAAAGCGUGGGAGCGAACAGG
rnacentral:rRNA from 1 species